GGCAAGAUGGCCGAGCGGUCCAAGGCGGUAGGUUAAGGUGUUACCUUAACUGACAACUCAACUUGAGUUUCCUACUCAUCUCACGAUGGCGUGGGUUCGAAUCCCACUCUUGUCA